rnacentral:rRNA from 1 species
GACGAACGCUGGCGGCGUGCCUAAUACAUGCAAGUGGGACGCAAGGAAACACACUGUGCUUGCACACCGUGUUUUCUUGAGUCGCGAACGGGUGAGUAACGCGUAGGUAACCUGCCUAUUAGCGGGGGAUAGCUAUUGGAAACGAUAGCUAAUACCGCAUAAUAUUAAUUAUUGCAUGAUAAUUGAUUGAAAGAUGCAAGCGCAUCACUAGUAGAUGGACCUGCGUUGUAUUAGCUAGUUGGUAAGGUAAGAGCUUACCAAGGCGACGAUACAUAGCCGACCUGAGAGGGUGAUCGGCCACACUGGGACUGAGACACGGCCCAGACUCCUACGGGAGGCAGCAGUAGGGAAUCUUCGGCAAUGGACGAAAGUCUGACCGAGCAACGCCGCGUGAGUGAAGAAGGUUUUCGGAUCGUAAAGCUCUGUUGUAAGUCAAGAACGUGUGUGAGAGUGGAAAGUUCACACAGUGACGGUAGCUUACCAGAAAGGGACGGCUAACUACGUG